GAACUUUGCUCGCCAGAUGGCGACAGCGCGGAACCCGGAAAGGCCGCCACCGGCGUCGGGCGACGGAAGACCCGCCCGUGCCGGACGAACUUGCAGCGGGAAAGGAAAGGGACAGAGAGACUUCCUCGAGGUUUAUUUAUCUCGAAAUACUGACUGGUGAAUGAAGAUAAGGUGGAGUUAAUCGGUGCCAUCCUGCUGAAGUUUCUGUCCAAACGUUUUGUGAUCACGCGACUUAAAGCCGCCAUUAUUCUUCCAAACAACGUGCUAGAGAGAUUGGAACGAAUGUGGUGGAUAAAUUUUAUCGUCUACGCGUUGAUUGUCGGCAAACGAAUUAAAAUUAAUAAAGUUUUUAGAGUGUGACUACGUGUGCCGCUUUCGGCUGCACAAAUCUCAGCUAGAAAAGAGUUUUGAUAAAACUUUUUCCGAAAGAUCCCGCACGUCGUAAACGUUGGCAAACAAAAGCAAACGAGAAGGCUGGAAAGCAACCGACAGCAACUAUUUAUGCGAAAUAAGUAAAAUAGUAACAAUCAUCUAUGUAUUUAAAUUUUUAUAUUAUUUUAGAAUAAUAUAUUCAUUCACGAAACAGAUCAAAUUGCUUAAAAUUUAAAUAAAAAAUUCAGUAUACAUAAAUUAAUACGGGUAUUCAUAUAAUUUAAUAUCUACAAUACUGUAUCUCAUAUGAAAGGCCUUAUUAAAUAUUGUAAAUUAUUGUAGAUUUGUAAUUUAGAAUACUGUAUAGACUAUAUAUAAAGUAGGAUUUGAUACGCAAUGAUUAGUGAAUGAGAGAUAAAUUUUAAUUAUAUAAUAUUUAUCAUUAGCUACUUAUAAUAAAUUAUUAUCUUAGUUUAAUAAGUAAUAAUAAUAAUGUAUAAGUGUAAUGUGUAUUGUUCGGGAAUUAAGUUAUUUUGUAAAUACACCUCACAGUAGAAUACACUUAAUAUUCUGUAAACACAAACAUAUAUAUUAUUCAUUUAAUUGCACGGAACUUUUAAAAUAAUUAUGCAACUGCAAACCAUACUAUAAGUACAGUACAUAUACAAGUAAAACUUAUAAGUAGAGUCUCACAUUAGUAAUAUAUAUAUCUAUUUUUUAGUAAUAACUUAUAUAGGCUAUAUAUAUAUAUAUUACUAAUAUUAGACUCUUUACUUGUGUUAUAAGAUAAUUUUUACUUGUAUAUGUUACUUGUGUUAUGGUUUGCACUUGCAUAAAGUUCCACGCAAUUAAUCAUGUAAUAGCAUCGAUUGUUUAAAUCAAAAUGUGCCGUCUUAAUAUUUCAAAUGAUACACUCGAUCCGAUUUUCAGGUUCAAUUUCCCGAUGAUCAACGAGAAAAAACUAAAGUCGAUCGAACUA